AGUCGAGCGAAGCUUUUCAGUAGUUUACUACAGAAAAUGACUGAGCGGCGAACGGGUGAGUAACGCGUGAGCAAUCUACCUUAGUUACAGGGAUAGCCCGAGGAAACUCGGAUUAAUACCUGAUAUUCUUUAUAUUUCGCAUGAAAUUAAAAGGAAAGGUCAGCCGAACUAAGAUGAGCUCGCGUUCUAUCAGCUAGUUGGUGAGGUAAAAGCUCACCAAGGCUACGACGGAUAGCUGGUCUGAGAGGACGAUCAGCCACACUGGGACUGAGACACGGCCCAGACUCCUACGGGAGGCUGCAGCAGGGAAUAUUGUGCAAUGAACGAAAGUUUGACACAGCGACACCGCGUGUGGGAUGACGGAUCUAGGUUUGUAAACCACUUUCAGGAGGGAAGAAAAUGACGGUACCUCCACAAGAAGCCCCGGCCAACUACGUGCCAGCAGCCGCGGUAAUACGUAGGGGGCGAGCGUUGUCCGGAUUUAUUGGGCGUAAAGAGCUCGUAGGCGGUUCAACAAGUCGUUCGUGAAAGUUCAGGGCUCAACCCUGAAAUGUCGAUCGAUACUGUUGUGACUAGGAUACGGUAGAGGUGAGUGGAAUUCCGAGUGUAGCGGUGAAAUGCGUAGAUAUUCGGAGGAACACCAAUUGCGAAGGCAGCUCACUGGGCCGCUAUCGACGCUGAGGAGCGAAAGCUAGGGGAGCAAACAGGAUUAGAUACCCUGGUAGUCCUAGCUGUAAACGAUGGAUACUAGACGUAGGAACUGGAUUGACGGUUUCUGUGUCGCAGCUAACGCGUUAAGUAUCCCGCCUGGGGAGUACGGUCGCAAGACUAAAACUCAAAGGAAUUGACGGGACCCCGCACAAGCGGCGGAGCAUGCGGCUUAAUUCGAUGAUACCCGUAGAACCUUACCUGGACUUGACAUAUAGGGUCUAGCUAUAGAGAUAUAGUGUG
rnacentral:rRNA from 1 species